AUACCGAGGGUGCAAGCGUUAAUCGGAUUUACUGGGCGUAAAGCGCGCGUAGGUGGCCAAUUAAGUCAAAUGUGAAAUCCCCGAGCUUAACUUGGGAAUUGCAUUCGAUACUGGUUGGCUAGAGUAUGGGAGAGGAUGGUAGAAUUCCAGGUGUAGCGGUGAAAUGCGUAGAGAUCUGGAGGAAUACCGAUGGCGAAGGCAGCCAUCUGGCCUAAUACUGACACUGAGGUGCGAAAGCAUGGGGAGCAAACAGGAUUAGAGACCCGAGUAGUCC
rnacentral:rRNA from 1 species